UACGGAGGGUGCAAGCGUUAUCCGGAUUCACUGGGUUUAAAGGGUGCGUAGGUGGGCAAGUAAGUCAGUGGUGAAAUCUCCGGGCUUAACCCGGAAACUGCCAUUGGUACUAUUUGUCUUGAAUACUGUGGAGGUCAGCGGAAUAUGUCAUGUAGCGGUGAAAUGCUUAGAUAUGACAUAGAACACCAAUUGCGAAGGCAGCUGGCUACACAAAUAUUGACACUGAGGCACGAAAGCGUGGGGAUCAAACAGG
rnacentral:rRNA from 1 species